rnacentral:sRNA from 1 species
GGGGAAGGCUGGUAGGGGUGGGAAGCGAGUUGAUCCGUUGAAGAGUUUUAAUUCUGGUGGCAAGCAUUGAUCCGACUUUUUUUGUUCUUAGUUUGGCAUCUAGGUAUACUGGGUAUAUACGCGUUUAUCCCAGUUUGCCCUUUGUUGUUCAGGAGGGGUUGGAGUUCAACAAGUAUGUGAAAAUUAUGCAGGAGCCGUGGUGACCUGACCUCAGUCUCUAAGUAGUAUAAAUAAGAAAUAGGAAAAUAUCUCAAAAACCUGACGCAGAACCACUCCCCGCAUACUCCAUACAUCAUGGUUCAAUAAAAAUAUAAUAGGUCCACU